rnacentral:lncRNA from 1 species
AAAUCCCUGGCGUCUGUAAGUUCCUCAUGUUGGCCAAGUCAACACAGCCUGCUGUGUGAUGGAGGGCCACAUUCUCUUGGCCACAAUGAGAACGUGUGAUGGGGCUGCUCCUCAGGCCCUGGGGGCAGGCCUGGUCUCCCUGGGUGUCUCACUUGGCUCGCCUGUUCCAUCUUCCAUCCUGCAGUGCCAGCAUGAAGCUCCCAGACAACACAGUGAAGUUGGGAGAGAAGCUGGAGAGAUACCACACGGCCAUACGGAGAUCAGAAUCUGUCAAGUCUCGGGGUCUGCCUUGCACUGAGUUAUUCGUGGCUCCUGUGGGUGUAGCCAGCAAGCGCCACCUCUUUGAGAAGGAACUGGCGGGCCAGAGCCGAGCAGAACCAGCCUCCAGCCGGAAGGAGAACUUGAGGCUCUCAGGGGUUGUGACAUCAAGGCUCAACCUGUGGAUCAGC